CUACGGGUUGCUGCAGUGGGGAAUAUUGCACAAUGGGGGGAACCCUGAUGCAGCAACGCCGCGUGGAGGAUGACGCAUUUCGGUGUGUAAACUCCUUUUAUAUGUCAAGAAAAUGACGGUAGCAUAUGAAUAAGCGCCGGCUAACUCCGUGCCAGCAGCCGCGGUAAUACGGAGGGCGCAAGCGUUACUCGGAAUCACUGGGCGUAAAGGACGCGUAGGCGGGUUGAAAAGUCAGGUGUGAAAGCCUACAGCUUAACUGUAGAACUGCACUUGAAACUCUCAAUCUAGAGUAUGGAGGGGCAGAUGGAAUUAGUGGUGUAGGGGUAAAAUCCGUAGAUAUCACUAGGAAUACCUAAAGCGAAGGCGAUCUGCUGGAACAUUACUGACGCUAAGGCGUGAAAGCGUGGGGAGCAAACAGGAUUAGAUACCCCCGUAGUC
rnacentral:rRNA from 1 species